UUUUCCGCAAUGGGCGAAAGCCUGACGGAGCGACGCCGCGUGGAGGAUGAAGGAUUUCGGUCUGUAAACUCCUGUCAGUGGGGACGAAUCACCUGACGGUACCCACAAAGGAAGCAUCGGCUAACUACGUGCCAGCAGCCGCGGUAAGACGUAGGGUGCAAGCGUUGUCCGGAUUUAUUGGGUUUAAAGGGUGCGUAGGCGGCUAUUUAAGUCAGUGGUGAAAUCCAUCAGCUCAACUGAUGAACUGCCAUUGAUACUGGAUAGCUUGAGUACAGACGAGGUAGGCGGAAUUGACAGUGUAGCGGUGAAAUGCAUAGAUAUUGUCAAGAACACCGAUUGCGAAGGCAGCUUACUAGGCUGUAACUGACGCUGAGGCACGAAAGUGCGGGGAUCAAACAGG
rnacentral:rRNA from 1 species